UACGGAGGGGGCGAGCGUUAUUCGGAAUUAUUGGGCGUAAAGGGCGCGUAGGCGGCUCUAUAAGUCAAAGGUGAAAUCCCUCGGCUCAACUGAGGAACUGCCUUUGAAACUGUUGGGCUUGAGGCCGGGAGAGGUGAGUGGAAUUCCCAGUGUAGCGGUGAAAUGCGUAGAUACUGGGAGGAACACCAGUGGCGAAGGCGGCUCACUGGACCGGUUCUGACGCUGAGGCGCGAAAGCGUGGGGAGCAAACGGG
rnacentral:rRNA from 1 species